UCCUGUUUCGUAGCCACACCUGCAUUGUGUUAGUCUUUGUGUAUUUAAACUCUUGUCGUUGUGUGCGCUGUUGUCGGGUAUUGUUGGCUUAAAUGUUCAUCCUUGUCGAGGAAGUCUGUGCAUCCUGCUCCACGCCCUUCGGUACUCGUGCAAACGUUACACUGGCUUACUUUCGCACAAAGAUACCGUCAUUGCCACCAUGAAGGAAAGAACUCGCGGUUCUACCACUGAACCGUGAUGAUUAGUGUCCAAUAGAGCGCACACAAACAACGAAGAAUGCUAUGCUAUGGGAUGUAAAGACCUUCCUGGCCACAUGGUGGUGCUGUGAGGUUGUCACAAUUACAUGCAGAUUCUUCUGCAAAUAAAUAUUCAAGGGAUGACUCAUCAUACUGGCUCCCAUGCGGCACAAAUACACUCAUAUACACACACACACACACACACACACACACACACCAAAAAAAAAAAACCUGCAGUGGGGAAUACCAAUAGUCCCUAAGAGACUGUAUAUUCAAAACUGUAAAAAUGUUUUCAGAACAUGCUGCACCAGUGCCUAUUUCAUUUAUUUUAUAUGACAUCUGGGUCACCACAGCAGGACUCUGAAUAAUGUAAUAUUGUGAUGUUUAAUCGAAUAAUUUUCAGGUUACCCUCGUGCUGUUUCAGACUUCUAUAUCUCACCAUCCCCUUUCUGUGUUCAUAUUGUCCUUCCCUUUUGGGAGGUCUGUGGUCUUUAGCGUGGCCUAGCAGACUUUAUCCAACAAUGGCUUUAUGUCAGUUAUAUAUGUAAUCAGACGUGUGUGUGUGUGUGUGUGUGAGAGAGAGAGAGAGAAAGAGCAAGAGAAGCACAUGCCUCGUCAGGAAGGAGAAACCCAGAGAUGACACUCAUCUGAAUACAUCUGUGUCUGAUGGCAAUUUUGUCAUAUGUUAGUGGCAUUAAUAUUCACCAUUCAUAUAACUCACUUUAUUUCCAAAGUUUUCUGUCUGUGAAAGCAGUAAAUGCAAUCACGAGGGUUUUAUGACCCUUUAUUCUUUGGCCCCUCCCAUGGCCCCACCC